ACGCCUAAUACAUGCAAGUCGAACGAAGUAGCAAUACUUAGUGGCAGACGGGUGAGUAACAUGUGGGUAUCUUCCCUUUGGUGAGGAAUAACACGAGGAAACUUGUGCUAAUACCUCAUAAGUCUUUACGGAGAAAGCUUUAUGCGCCAAUGGAUGAGCCCGCACUUGAUUAGUUUGUUGGUAGGGUAAUGGCUUACCAAGACUUUGAUCAAUAGCUGAUUUGAGAGGAUGAUCAGCCACAUUGGGACUGAGACACGGCCCAAACUCCUACGGGAGGCAGCAGUAGGGAAUCUUGCACAAUGGGGGAAACCCUGAUGCAGCGAUGCCGCGUGAGUGAAGAAGGCCUUUGGGUUGUAAAGCUCUUUCGUCGGGGAAGAAAAUGACUGUACCCGAAUAAGAAGGUCCGGCUAACUUCGUGCCAGCAGCCGCGGUAAUACGAAGGGACCUAGCGUAGUUCGGAAUUACUGGGCUUAAAGAGUUCGUAGGUUGUUAAAAAAGUUGGUGGUGAAAUCCCAGAGCUUAACUCUGGAACUGCCAUCAAAACUUUUUAGCUAGAGUAUGAUAGAGGAAAGCAGAAUUUCUAGUGUAGAGGUGAAAUUCGUAGAUAUUAGAAAGAAUACCAAUUGCGAAGGCAGCUUUCUGGAUCAUUACUGACACUGAGGAACGAAAGCAUGGGUAGCGAAGAGGAUUAGAUACCCUCGUAGUCCAUGCCGUAAACGAUGUGUGUUAGACGUUGGAAAUUUAUUUUCAGUGUCGCAGCGAAAGCAAUAAACACACCGCC
rnacentral:rRNA from 1 species